CCUACGGGAGGCUGCAGUGGGGAAUAUUGCACAAUGGGCGAAAGCCUGAUGCAGCAACGCCGCGUGAGCGAUGAAGGCCUUCGGGUCGUAAAGCUCUGUCCUCAAGGAAGAUAAUGACGGUACUUGAGGAGGAAGCCCCGGCAAACUACGUGACAGCAGCCGCGGUAAUACGUAGGGGGCUAGCGGUAUCCGGAAUUACUGGGCGUAAAGGGGGCGUAGGUGGGUUCUUAAGUCAGAGGUGAAAGGCUACGGCUCACCCGUAGUAAGCCUUUGAAACUGGGGAACUGGAGUGCAGGAGAGGCAAGUGGAAUUCCUAGUGUAGCGGUGAAAUGCGUAGAUAUUAGGAGGAACACCAGUUGCGAAGGCGGCUCGCUGGACUGUAACUGACACUGAGGCUCGAAAGCGUGGGGAGCAAACAGGAUUAGAUACCCGGGUAGUC
rnacentral:rRNA from 1 species